rnacentral:misc_RNA from 1 species
AAAGUCGUAACAAGGUUUCCGUAGGUGAACCUGCGGAAGGAUCAUUAUUGAAACAUUGUGAAGGAGGUUGAGCUGGCCUUUUAACCGAGGCAUGUGCUUGCUUCCUUUCAAUCUUCAUCCACCUGUGCACCUUUUGUAGAGGCAUGGCAAAUUUGGAACGGUGUAAAAGCCUAGUACAGGUUCACUGUGCUCUCUAUGUUUUUAUCUACACUAAUGUAUGUUUAUGAAUGUCUAUUGGGGACUUUAUUGACCCUAUAAAAGUUAAUACAACUUUCAGCAACGGAUCUCUUGGCUCUC